rnacentral:lncRNA from 1 species
UGUGGAGCAACUUUGUCGGUCCUUCCCAAGCCCCUGUGCAGAAGUAUUUUUAGCUCACCAACACAGUUAACUAAAGCCCUCCCAACUCAGCAUGCUUCUCACUUCUGUCUGUCCCAACCAGUGCCAAGGAAUGGAUCCAGCCAGGUCAAUGAACUGUUCCUGCUUUUGGCUGCGCUGUUAAUGCAGGAUGAGGCAGGUAUAAGACAUGGUGGAAGGCAUUUCAGCAGUGGCUUGUGGUCCUCAGAAGGUGGUGGCCGGUCUUGGCGAGGAGAUUAUGCAGGCUGGAUGCUGACAUGGCAGAGUGGAGACAGAUUAUGCUGGUUGCAAUCUCUGAGGAUUCCCCCAUCAGAUGGAGAACCACAAGCAUGGAGUGAGGGGACUAAAUCAAUAUGCAGUACUGAGACGACCAGCAGUGGCUCCAGAACUUCUGCAUGCAGACGGCCACUUUCCUAGAGUUGUGUGAGGAGCUUAGUUGCCUCAACCCUCCAGCUCCAGGACAUGUGGAUGAGAAAGGCCACAUCAGUCCAGAAGUAGGUUGCUAUUUCCAUCUGGAAGUUGGCUACCCCAUACUGCUACAGAUCAGUGACUAAUCAGUGUAGCAUUGGCAAGUCAUUGCAUUGGUGCUGUGGUGGAGUUUUGUCAGGCAAUUUUUGUGGUUUAACCACGGUGGUGGAUAUUGCUAACAUUCCUGGCUUUGAGAGAAUGGGGUUCCUGAACUGCACUGGACCUGUCAAUGGCGCACACGUGCCCAUUGUCUGCCCACCACAAGGAACACAUGACUAUGUCAAUCGGAAAGGAUAGUAUUUGCCCAUUGGGCAGAUUUUGCUCAACUACAAAGGCAGGUUCAUGAACGCCAAUGUGAGUUGCACCAGUAGGGUGCAUGACUCGGAGCAUUCAGGAGAUACUGGUAUUGACCUAUUUGGACAAGAAUGGACGUACUUCCUCCAAAUAAUAUGGUUAUUAAUGAAGUAUCUGCCUACUGUUUUUUAGAGGACCCGGCCUAACCUCUACCUCCCUGACUCAAGAAGCCUGGCAGAAAAAUAAAGAGCACCUGGAAGAAGAAUAAAGUUUUGGA